UAUGUAAUAAGCAUUUGUAGUCAGUUACAAGAUGGCAUGCUAGUGUGUAACAUUCAGCCAGCCCACUAAGACAAUGUGGCACCAGAAUGGGCAGAAGACAGCCAUUUAGUGCCAAGUUUGCCGUCUGGAACUGAAAGGCUGCAAAAAUAGAAGUAAGAGAGAGAGAAGGGGAGAGAGAGACCCAGUGAAGAUAAAUUAUCUAAACAACGGAUUACUUCUUUUACUAUUUCAAAAUUAUACUACUUCUACAAAUGAGUCUAAAGUUGAAAUGAAUAUCACAGUGCCAUGUGAUAUCUUUAUGACAGUAUUACAUAAAGUUGUUAUUUGUUUAAAUCAAAGCUAUCUUACCUAUGUUCAAAUUCACUGCUGUGUCAGCUACUCUUUGUAAUCACUUAAACCUCCUUGAAAAAAAGUUACUAUUUCAAAUAUUGUUUAAGAGAGAAAAAGGAGAACAAAGAAACCACUGAAUGUCACAGGACAGUCUAACAGUCGUGACAGUGUAAUGGAAUAACAGGUCAACCCAGGCAUGGAAAUGAGGAAAGUUAAAUUCAUCUAUUCCAGCAGAACCAUAUUUCAUAAUUUCCGUAGCAUUGGCCUUUAUUCAUCUUUGUACACACAACCCGCAUGACAGAAUCAUCUCAUGAAAAUGCACAUAUUUCAGCCACCAGUAGGCGUAACCAUGGACGGUUAUAAGAACUAAAGAACGCUCACUGCUAUAACAAAUGAUGAUGAAAAUAAUUACUUGCCGGAACCAAUGAGAAUGAAGUGUUGUUGGUGAUGACAAUAGAAAAGGUCAUCAAUCAGUUAUGCUCUAAUUCAGGUAGGACAGAAAUGGAGGGCUUACCACAUCCAGUUCUGUGUGUAGGGUACUAGUACCAUAUGCACUGCCAACAGGGGGCACAGCUCACCUGUGACAAACAAGGAGUUAAUCACUAAAGCCAUAAUCACUCAUGUAUUCAGGACACUGUCUCUUUCUCAUUGAAAUGAUAUAUUGUAUUAACUGUUCUUUGCUGCUUAACACCUGUUGGCUGUUGGUAAUGUGAUGUUUAUUAUGCAUGCAAGUCUCUACAGUAAUAUGCCAUGGACAGGAAAAGUCAUUAGUACAGAUUGAUAGUCCAAGAUCUUACAAUAAAUAAAUUUUCAUUGAAGUGAAA